CGGAGCGAACCGCGAAUCCCAAGGUCCGGGCUGGAGAGCUCGGACUGUGAGCGCCGGGCAGGCGGCGGCCGGGCGGGGUCGGAUUCUAGACCGGCCGACCCUGGCGACAGCCCCCGCCUCGGCGAGCGUUUGCCACCGUGUUGACAGCUCCUUACUCCAGCUGGCUCCUCUGCAGGCGGCCUUCCUCCACGCGGCCCUCCGUUUCAGGCGCCCCAGGAACCUGGUCCGGACGUCCCUCGCUAUUGCACAUCAUGCCGGUAUGGCAGCUGGGUGCGCUUGUGGAUUAAUCCCAUCUGCCUCCCGCCCUGACACGUGAAACCCCAAAUCCCGCCGUCUCCACCACAGAACCCCCUGGCCACCUUGACCAUUGAGAGGGCCACCUGACAGCCAGGGCAUACCUGCUACCAGUGGUACCCGUGCCUGAAAACGGAGAUUUGUAUCCUCUGUGAAGAAGCAAGGAUCCACGGGUUAAACUCUGAAAUGUCUGCAUCUCCCAAAAUGGAUUCCUGACCUACUGCAUUUGUAAAUCUUCAAACUUCAGCACUCCCUUCUGCCACCGUGUAAUCAUUUGAUCUUAAACCUGGCUAUGUUAUUCUUACUUGGAGUAAAUUCACCUUGGCCCUUAACAGGCCUAAAGGUCACUAUGCUCUUGAAUCCACAGUCACACCAUAGAAGCCGAGGUGGAUUAGUGAAGAGCAAAUGUCCUUGCCACGUGACAGUGAAACUCCAAAGUGGGGGAACAAUGCUACCAGCUCCUGUUGGUGCCUCUGAACAGGGCUGCUGGAACAUGGGGAAGAGCAGUCACCUGGCCUCUGACUGAGGAAAGCUGAGCCCUGCAGGAGCCUGCUUUACCACCAGUGGUCUUCCCACUCCUGGUUCUAAAACAUCUUGGGCUCAUGCUUCAUGAAUGGAAUAAAGCAUCUGCAAUUCCACAGAAAGGUAAAUGUUUAUUCAACUCGACGUUAUUUUAAAGAACAGCAGCUAAAUCAACACUGAGACAGACUGGAGCUGGUUCUGGGGGACACAGAAUGUCAAGCCUGAGGACACACCACUUAACCCUCUGCUUCCCAAACAGGUCAAGAUUUUAAGUAAUUAAGGUUAGGGGGAAAAAAGGAGUCCUAAGAGCUGUCUCUAUGUGCUCUCUUCCCUAAUUCUUCCCACUCUUUCUUGAGCCCCCUACAAUCCGGCUUUCAUCCCCACUACUGGGUUGAAACAGCUCAUGGGGAAUCACCAGUGAUCUCUACCCUGCCAAAAACAAUGAUCCAAUCUGUCUCGUCUUACUCAACCUAUCAGGAAAACAAGACCAAGGAAUCAACUUAAUAACUUUAAAAAAAAUAUUAGGCACAAUGUUAUCUACAAUUUUGUUAUCGAAGUAUCGGCUUUUAAUGAAUUAUGAAUACAACUAUUCAUAUUUUUUUAAUAAUCAAUUCUAGGGGGGAAAGAAGUCUCUCUCAUUCCAAACAACCAACUUAUAAACAUUUCUACCUCUUCUCAAGGAAACAGAAGCAACUGCUUUUAUUGCUAAAUUUCAGCUUACAGAUUGAGCAUCAAAGUUUGUAUCCCCCAAAAUUCUUUAUAAGAAACCCCACCCACAGUGGUCCUGUUAACCCUCAAAUGAGCUAGAAGGAAAAUAAGUAUUUUACAAAAGCUAGCAAAAUUCUUUGUCUUGAUCUUUCUCUAAAGCGACAGUCAACUCUGCACCACAUCUGCACCAAUUAACACGUUUUCCUGUCCCCUGCCAAGGACACAAUUUUGAAACAUCUCUCACGAGGAGUGUCCACUUACUCUCACCACAUGACAAGGAGUCCAUGCCUCAUUUAUAAAGAUAAGACCUGCCUGGCCCACAGAACCUACACAGAGCCGUCCUACAACACUUUUACACACCUCAACUACAGCCCAUGGCAAUGCGGCAUGACUUCGAGAGGGCUCCCUGCUGACCCCUCACAAUCAUGGUGUUACUCUGUCACCUCCAUGUGUGCAGUUUUCACAUCUUACGUUCUGAGGACAUGAUCUAGGAGUCAAUGAACUUCUGAGUUUAACCACUGAUCUGAGUCCAAGUCUCACCUGGAAAUACUAGAGGCAAUGGCGUGUGCAAAACUAUGUGAAGACUAUCAAAGCGUGCUUAUGCCCAGGCUUGAGGAUGGAAGUCGCCUCAUGAGCAAACCAUCUCCUGAAGUCCUGCGGUCAACCCACUUACUAGCUUCUGCAUCACGGUGCUAAGCUGUCAUUCCAAACGCGCACACACUGUCACAGUCGUAUAGUGUCUUACAGUAUCCAAAGCACGAGGUAUGUGCCCUCCAAACUAGUUGGCUUGGUAGGACCUGAACUAAAGACAUUCACAGUAGGUCUCAACGUUAACCCACAUCACGAGGGCUUGUACAUAAUUAGCGUCACACCAAUAAAGUAUUCACGAGAAUGCAUAAAUUCAUGACAUAAACCAAGAAUGAGCUGCUGACUUACUGUUUCAGCAGAUACAUCAUAUCACACAUAAUUUGUCCAUAGUUUUAACUACUACUCCAUAAAUACUUGAUGUUUGUAUCAAUAAUGCUACUGGAAUGGAAUAAUAUUACAAAGAAAAGUGUAUGAAAACAGACAUAAUAAGCUUUAAAGGACUAAACUUCAGUUAUAAAAGUGGGUCACAGGCUAAGAAAUCGCUAUUUAUCUGCAAUAAUUACAAACCAAAAGAUGAUCACAGGUUGUUCAUUAUAUAUCCAAAUCUAGGAAUUAUUUCAUCACAUAGCCAAUUGGGGGGGGGGG